UUGAAUCAACUAAUCAGUUGACCAAAUUUCAUUCCCUGUCAAUCAAUUGAGAUGAGAUUACAGCAAACAUGCAAUAUAGAUUUAUAUGGACUGUUAUAUGUUACCAUAAUGUCCACCCACAAUCCAUGCAUAUAAUAUAAUAUUAUAUACUGCCAAUAUUCAUGCAUAUUAUAUUAUCAUAGUUACAACCAUAAUCCAUGCAUAUUAAUUAUAAUAUUAUAACAAACCAUGAACCAUGCACAUGUCUAAUAUACUUAAAUUAGUCAUCAUUCAAAACAUCAUAAAAUCAAAAACCAACAUUCUCCCCCUUUUUGAUGAUGACAAUUUAUGCACCAACAUGUUCCCCCUAAGUAUAUGGUUCCCCUAAAUUUAUGCAUAUUAAGGAGAAAAUUACUUAAUCCAAAAAAAACCAUCAUUGUAUAUUCCAGUAUAAUAUAGUAUCUCAAUAUCAACAUGAAUACCAAUUCAAACCAAUUUAAAUAUACCCAAAUAUCUCUCCC
rnacentral:lncRNA from 1 species